rnacentral:rRNA from 1 species
UACGAAGGGUGCAAGCGUUAAUCGGAAUUACUGGGCGUAAAGGGUGCGUAGGCGGUUCGUUAAGUCUGUCGUGAAAUCCCCGGGCUCAACCUGGGAAUGGCGAUGGAUAAUGGCGAGCUAGAGUGUGUCAGAGGAUGGUGGAAUUCCCGGUGUAGCGGUGAAAUGCGUAGAGAUCGGGAGGAACAUCAGUGGCGAAGGCGGCCAUCUGGGACAACACUGACGCUGAAGCACGAAAGCGUGGGGAGCAAACAGG